UACGAAGGGGGCUAGCGUUGCUCGGAAUCACUGGGCGUAAAGCGCACGUAGGCGGAUUGUUAAGUCAGGGGUGAAAUCCUGGAGCUCAACUCCAGAACUGCCUUUGAUACUGGCGAUCUUGAGUCCGGGAGAGGUGAGUGGAACUGCGAGUGUAGAGGUGAAAUUCGUAGAUAUUCGCAAGAACACCAGUGGCGAAGGCGGCUCACUGGCCCGGUACUGACGCUGAGGUGCGAAAGCGUGGGGAGAAAACAGG
rnacentral:rRNA from 1 species